AGCAAAGGCGGUGCAGCUAAAGACUGAGUCCCUACAGAAAAACUCUUGCUGAAGGAGAGCAGGUUCCGGGUCUACUUGUACUGGCGCCUAGUGGAAGAGAGUCGACGCUUUCGAGCAAGAUGAUGGAAGAUCUGAGAAGCCAAAUGGGAUAGAGAUUAGCAGUAACAAGAAGAUGCCACCACUCCCGGGACAGAAGGGACAAAGGAAAGAAAUGGUUACCAGAGUCCAGAAGCUGAAGCCACUGAGCAGGAACCGAAACUACAGG